UUCAAUGAACUGACAGCUUUCUUAGAAAGUUUGACUAAUUAAUCUUCUGCAAUGCUAUUAAGAGGAUUACCCUUUGAGGUUUAUAGCAAUAGGCCACUCCUAUGAUUAGUCACGUGAUUUGUUGAA
rnacentral:sRNA from 12 species